rnacentral:rRNA from 1 species
CAAUAGCGUAUAUUAAAGUUGUUGCAGUUAAAAAGCUCGUAGUUGGAUUUGUGGCGUACGGUGUGUUCCGGGCACUUGUUGUCUGAGUAACCUGCUGUCGCCAUCCUUGGGUGGAACCUGUGUGGCAUUAGGUUGUCGUGCAGGGGAUGCCCAUCAUUUACUGUGAAAAAAUUAGAGUGUUCAAAGCAGGCUUAUGCCGUUGAAUAUAUUAGCAUGGAAUAAUGAGAUAGGACUUUUUUGCUAUUUUGUUGGUUUGCGCAAGAAGGUAAUGAUUAAUAGGGACAGUUGGGGGUAUUCGUAUUCCAUUGUCAGAGGUGAAAUUCUUGGAUUUUUGGAAGACGAACUACUGCGAAAGCAUUUACCAAGGAUGUUUUCAUUAA